UCCAAGCAGGAGACCAGUUAUAAGAAUUUUCCCCCCUCUGGCAAGGGGAGGGGGACAAAGGGUUGGAUCCCUCCUGAGUCCAAUGCCAAUGGAACAUUCCUCUGUUGGCCCAGCUGGGCUUGGCCAUUGAAGCUCUCUAAUGAAUAAGGAGGCGUGAUCUAGGGUGUGACUGGUGCUGCCUCCUGCUGCCUCCUGCUAUCAGAGUUGUAAAUGCUGAUAAUGUUCCUUUAAGUGAGGAAGAGGGAGACACUACAUCUGAAAUGAGAUGUUAAGAAGGCUAGAAUUGGGGGAACCUGUCCAUCUUUUCAAGCAUCUGAUAGACAACUUUGACACCUGAUCUCGGGGGACCUUAUGGAGUCACUCAGAGUUCUUAAGAGACUUCCCUUACUUUAUCAUUCUGGAAGGAAUUGUCACAGGUGAAUGUAUCGCACUUUCUCAGGAGCUGAACCUGACCCUUGAAUCCAUUUCAUUUGCACCAUGGGUUUGACUGUGAAUUAAAAUGGAUUAAGUUGGCUUAAUGCUGUUUUACAAGCAAGCUGCAAGACUCGGCACUAUUCAUUUUUAAUUUUAAUCCUUUGUCUUAGCCUGUUAAUUACUAUUGUUUUAAGUUCAUUAUCCUCAGUCUGCACGGGAUGCAAAUGCUUGUAAGCUGUGUCCUUACUUUUGCAGGUACUGACCCUUGAAUUGUUGAAGGAGCCCAUGUCAUUGCACAACAGCAGACUCUGUAAUCUACAAUUCACUCUUUAAAUUUUUAUUCUUUGCUUGUCUUUAAUUAAUUGAGCAAUAACCCAAUUGAAGCAUCUGAUGUACAGACUCACAAGUUCAAAAAUAGUUUUUAAUGAGACAGUAAAAUAGGGAAUUAGAAAUGGUGACUUCUUCAACUUCCUCUAACAAAC